AAAAGUUUCGAUGAAAUAAAAUGGGACUCUAGUUACUAAUUGAUUACAAAUGUAUGUAUAUGUAUGUAACUGCAAUAUAAAUUAAUUGUCUUAAAAUCAAAUAUCAUUACUAUUAAUAUUGUAUUAUAAUUGAGUAAAUAGAGAAAAUAUUGCGAAACCGAACUAAAUAAACAAAAUAAGUCGAACAGGACCCAAAAAUCAAAUUGAUUUUCGAAAACCAAAUGAAUAGCCUGAGAAUCAUGUGAAAAACCUGCAAAUCGAGUAAAAAUCUAGCUGAGUCGUUGAAUCAGACCGAUCCGGUUCGGAUCGAACCGGAAUCAUCUAGAAGUUGGACAUACUUUAUUUCUUUUCUUCUUCUUCUUCCUUUCCUCUCCUGCGUCGACCUCAUCUCCUCCUCCUCUUCUCCUCUUCUUCUCUUCCUCUUUCUUCUUCUUCUUCUUCUUUCUUUCUUUCCUUUUUCUUUCUUUCUUUCCCUUUCUUCUUCCCUGCAACUGGGUCUGCGUCACUGCCAGCUCCUCCUCUAGCUCAUCGCGCCACCACAGCCCCUUCUGCUUUCGAUCGAGCAAGCGCCGCGCCUCACCCAGCUCGUCACGCCAUCGCCACCGCCUAGCCGCCGCUCCAGCACGCCUCCGAUCACCAAGCUAGCAGAAAUUCAACAAAAAAAAUUAUAUCGGGGUAUAAAUUAAUUUAAAUACAUUUUAGUUAAUUAAUUUAAUUUUAUUAAUGAUAGUUAAUUAAAUUUAGUUAGUUUAAUUUUAAUAAUUUUAGUUGAUUUAGUUAAUGUUAAUAAUAUUAGUUAAUUAAAUUAAGUUUAUUAUUUGCAGUUAAUUAAUUUAGUAGUAUUAGUUAAUGAAAUUAAUUUUAUUAUUUGUAGUCAAUUAGUUUAGUUAAGUUAAUGUUAGUAAUGUUAGUUAAUUAAAUUAAUUUUAUUUGUAGUUAAUUAAUUUGGUUAAUUUAAUUUGGUCAUUGUGAGUAGUUAAUAGCUUUAUAAUAUUAGUGUUGAUAUAAUUAAGGUAGUUUAAAAAUAAUGUUAUUGUAAUGUAUAAAUUGGAUUGUGUGGUGAUGUUGAGAUUGAAGGAGGAUGGGAAAAUGUCAUUUGAUUAAUUGCCCGAUGGAUGGGCCGUGUGGUUUGAAAUUAUUAGAUAAACUGUUGAUAUUUUAACAGGUGGAUAAUCCAAAUUUUAGGGGAGAUGCUGCCGAAAAGUCGGUAGAAAAUAAAUUGUAUUUUAGAAACUAAAUUACUUAUAGCGAUUAAAUUAUUCAUAGAAAUUAAAAAUAUAGAAUAAGAUUAUGAGAGGGAUAAAUAAACAAAUAAAUAAAUAAACAAGAGGAACGAAUUUAUAUAUAGUUCAGUGAAUUAAAUACCGACUAAAGUUAUUAACGUUAUGAAUAUUAUAUGAUCAAUCGUAUUAUCAUUAUUAAUAUUAUUAUUAUUAAUCAUAUUAAAUAUUUUGAUUAGUAGUAUCAUAAAAUAUUAAUUACCAAAUAAUUAGACGUUUUACUUAACGAAUAAAUUAGAAGAAAUAAAUCAAAUAAAGAUGCACUAUAGAUAUAAUGAUGCACUAUUUGUUGAUCUUAAAUAAUGCUUGAUUACCUGUGAUGUGAUAUUGCUGUGCCUUGUUUGUGUGGAAUUAGGAUGAAGUGGACCACCAUGGAUUUGUGAGGACGGUCUAUGUGAUAUGGAUCCUGAAUAUGAUAUGAUAUGGAGUUUGACCGUCAGCCGGGUACAUGGGAGAUCGGCGCCCCCGUGUGCACCUGAUGAUAUGGAUUAUAUGGAAAACCACAGGAUGGCUUCUUGUUGUUGCGCACCUGAUGAUCUAGAUUUGAUUGUAGCCCGCAGGGUGGCCUCCUGUUGUGAGCACUUGAUGAUCUAGAUUGGAUGGAGACCACCGGGUUGCCUCCUGUUGGCAUUUUUUUUUUUAAAAAAAAGAGAGAGAAUGGAAAAACAAUGAGAGGACUGGUCAGUGAGGAUUAGACCAGUUGGCCGUAUGGGGGAUCGGCUCCCUGGUGCACAUGUAUGAGAGGGCGAGCCAUGUGUGAGGACGGCUCGUUGGGGUUUUAGGUGGUGCCACUGACUAAUUUCCACGUGAUGUGAUUAUAUGAAUGUGAUAAUAAUUGUGGUUGCUGUUGUAUUGCCAUUUGUGUGACACUGCAUGAUCAUAAAUUUAAUCGAUGAACAAAUAAAAAUAUUUUAGCAUCUGUAUGAUUGUGUGGGGUGAGAGGGUUAUCUAACCCUACUCAUUGAGUUUGGCGCUCACCCCUGCCUACCUAUUUUUUUCCAGGUAAUAGAAGAAAGAAAAAUCCUAUGGAGUUGAGACAUAAGUAUAGAAGACUGUAAACAAUAAAUAAAUGAUGAUGUAAAUAUACAGGUAGAGUUCCGCAAUUGUAUUCUAGUGGGUUGUAGAUGAACUGUACUAGUGGUACAUAAUUGAAAUAAAUUAUUAGGCCUGUAUCCACAAUUAUGAAUAGUAAAUGAGAUUUGCAUAAUAUAGGCUUACUACGGGCUUCGGGGGCCUUAAGCCCACCCAGGUCCUAGUGCCGGUUCGGUCCAUGGAAAUGGGUCGUGACAAUUACAUAUUUUGAUAAAAUUUCAGUUUAGCUUCAUCUGACGAAAAUAAUUGAUGUGGAGAUCAAAAUUAUAUUUUAUAUUAUCGUUAUACAAUGUAAGUCUUGAUUUAUUAGAUUAAUAUCAUAGCAUUGCCAAAUUAUAAAAAUAUUUUGUAGUAUGGUAAAAGCAAAUUUAUAGUGAUUUUAUAUAAUUAAUUAACAAUAAAAUUAUAUUUUUUUUUAUUAAAUGGAGAAGCAGAAACAUCAUUUUCUUUUCAAUUAGAUAUUAAAAUACAUGACAUGUUAAAAAAAUUUAUUGUAUACAAACAGUGCUAUAUUAAUUAAUCAUUGUAUUUAUUUUAAUCUAAAUAAGAAUUUAUACUUUAAUAUUAUAUAAAUAACAAAAAUAACAAAAUUAAAUGAGCAAGUCAACGCACGUCAUAAAAGAACUAGUACUAUAUAUAAAUGUGAAAUAUGAGGAAUAAUGAGAUUUCCUACGAUAGCCUUAGAUUAAUUUAGAAUUUCUAAUAUAUUCAUUUAGCUUAGAUUUUUUAUGUAUUUUAAUUGGAGAAACCAUUUAUCUUUUAGUUGUAUUUUUUAUUGUCUUUCAAUUAGAGAAAGUAGAUUCUAUUUAUCUUUUUAAAUACCAUUUUAGUUGGAUUUUCUAUAUAUUUUAAUUGAAGAAAAUAUGUAUAUAUAUUUUCUCUAUUUGAUCUUGCAUUAUUAUUGUUUAAUAAUUUUUAUAAUUAAUAGAUUUUAAUCUUCUUAAUUAUACGUCCUUAUGUCAUAUUGCUUUCUAAAAUGUAAAUCGAAAACCUUAAUUCAACUAUUGAAAAUAAAAUUUAAAAUUUUCAAUUAAUUACGUUCUGAAUUUUUUAAAAUAUGUGUAAACAUUUUACUAUUAGACUCCAUUAGUUAAAUACAAUAAAAUUAAAAUUAAAAUUUUUAAAUUAUAUUUUCUCUUUUAUUAUUUUGGAGAUGAUGGCGUAUACUUAUUUAAACUAUUUAACACUAUUGUAUUUGACUAAUAUUAUAUAAUUUUUCUAAUCUAAUGAAAUAUUAUUAAAAAUACACUAUAAAAGUUUGAAUUAAUGAAAAAUGGCUAUUUGACAAUAUUUGCUAUCUUUUUCAUUUUCAUUUUUCUAUAUUAAAGAUGAUAUGAUAAAAAAAUUCAAGAGCUAUCUUUUUAUUUAAUAAUUUAUUCUACUUUUUUGAAUUUAUGAAAUUAUUAUUUAAUUUUUCUAUGAUUUAGUUGGAUCUAUUUUUAAAAAAAUAAUUUUUUAAAAUAGAUAUAAAGAUAAUUAAACCUUUGAAAUUUUAAUUUUUUUUAAAUACUUUUUUCAAAUAUAGGACUUUGAAAGUUUUGAACUUAAUCUCAUAUAUAUCUAUCAACUUGAGAGAGGAUAUUUCAUUACCAAUAUUAUUGCUUGCGCAUUGAUUUUUAAGUUACAUAUUAACAUUUAUUUAUAUCAUUUUGAAGCAUUUUUUAGCAAAGAAAAUCUUGAAGUUUUUAGUUACCUUUAAAUAUAUUUUUAAUUUAAUGAGUAAUCACAAUCUUUUUUUUUUUUCCAUGAGUUUCAUUUUUAUCACUUUUUUAAAAUAGUAGUGUCACAACCCGUUUACAUGGACCGGACCACACUUAGGCCCAGGUAAGCUUAAGGCCAUCGAGGCCUAUAGUAAGGCUAAAUCACUAAAAUCCAAUUAUCUCAAUAUGAAUUUCUACCAUUCAGCUCAUAUUACCAUGUUCACUAAACCUCAUAAUUAUAUUAUGUUUCAACCCCAAAUUCAACAUUUUACACAUUUCAUAGCUCGGGCCCAAUUUAUAAUACAUUACAUUCAUAAUAUGGUCUCAUAAAAUCAUUCCACUUAUAUUAAUACACAACUAGAGGUACAUAAAACCUAUAACUGCAGAGUUCACUAACAAAUAAGAACAAAUAAGCCCUUGUACAUAUAACUAAUUAAUGAAUUAAUUUCUAAAAUUAGAAAAUUCUUUUCUACCUCUAUGGGAAAGGAACAGAACUUUAACCGGGAUAUAGAAGAAUCUAUUCCCUGAAAGUUUAAAUAAGAGAGAUGUGAGUUUAUUAAUGAAUAAUUAUUAUUGCAUAACACAUGCAUUCACACGAAUGUGUAAAUAUAUCAAUCUAAUCAUCCGACUAGAUUAUGAUCGUGCAGGCGAUCUUGCAAAUGGCACAACAAUAACAAUCACAAUUAUUAACAACUUCACAUAAUCACAUCACGUGGAAAUUGAUCUGUAGCAUCACCGAAACCCCUGAUGAGCGUCCUCCAACAUGGCCCAUCCUCUCAUGACGUGUGCACCAGGGAGCCGAUCCCCAUACAUGGCCGACUGGUCUAAUCCUCAAUAGACCAGCCCUUUCAUUUCUUUUAUACUCUCUUUUCUUUUCCAUACCAACAGAAGGCCACUCUGUAGUUUUCCAGAUCAUCCAUACCAUAUCAUCAGGUAUCACCCAUAUCAUAUCAUCAGGUGCACAUGGGGGCGCCGAUCUCCCCAUGCCUGGCCGAUGGACAAAUUCCAUAUUUUUAUCAUUUCUAAGACCAUCUUUAUAAACCCAUAAUGACCCACUUCAUCCCAAUUCUACUUAAACAAAGCAUUGCAAUGACACAAUACAAAUAAUCAAAUAUUGUAAUUAAAUAUCAAGUAAUUAAAUAUCAUAAUGCAAGUGCACAAUUAGAUAUUCAUAUUCAAAUACAAAUAAUUACAGGAGUAUUAAUUAACAAUAUAAUAUAGUAAUUGAUUUUAGGAAAAUAAAGAAAUAAAUGAAUGAAUAAAUAAAUAAUGAUAAGAAUAAAUAACUAAUAAAAAUAAAAAUAAAAAUUUAUUUUAAAUAUAUCAAGUUAAAUAAUUAAUCUAAAUAAAUCUAUUAACUUAAUUAUUAAAUAUGACUAACCUAGAUUCUAUUGAAAUUUCGGCAGAACCUUCCCUAAAAAUUGGAUUAAUCCGCAAUUCAAUAGCAAAUUCUCAAAGCCCAUCCAUCGGGUAAUUCGCAACAACUAAACCCAUUUGCCGUAACCAUAUUCAUCAAUCAUUCAUCACACACAUAUACGCACUUAAUAAUUCCAAACCAAUUAAUUAACAAAUUAUAAUAACCUCUGAGCAUGUUCCAAUGAUAUUAUUAAUUGUUCUAUAAGUAAUUAUCAAAUAACUAAACAAUUUAUAAAUAAAACUGAUUUCGACAAGUUAAAUACAACUAUUCUCACUUGAUAAUUUCUAGACUUCUAAUCAUUAAGAAACUUCUCAGUACGCCUUUACUUUUCAUCCUUACUCCAGGUAUAAACCUCAUUUACUUAUGCAUUUAUUAAGAAUUCUAUACUAGCAGCCAAGAACCAAUCUCAUUAAAGCUUCCACCCCUUAGAAAUCCUAAAUUCUAACUUAAACUCAUAGCCUAGCAUAUAUAAUGUCUAUAUCUUACUUGUCUAAGCCUUAGAUUAUAACUCCCUCUAACAUUAUUUAUUAAAAUUCCUAAGUUAAUUUACAUAAUUAUUAGUUAAGAAUUCUCAUUUCAGCAUCAAAUCUUCUAAUUAUAAUUAAUAUUCAUGAAAUAUAUUUAGCAAUAUUCAAAAUUAAUUUGCAUCUUACAAUAUACCACUAACUAAUUACUAGCAAGAAUUAUAUCUAACUAAUUAUUUAUUCGAAUUCAAUUUAAUCAACUAUUAAUUUUAAAAUUUGGAAUUUAUACUCAAAUUGGAAUUAUAUCGGCGACCAUUCCAGAAUCCAUAUGAAGAGAGGAAGAUUCUGUCUCUUGGUGCCUCUUCGGAGGCUCACCGGACCAUCGCCGCCACCGUCCACGGUGGCCGGGAAACUGUGACUGCUCGGAAUCGAGUGCUCUUCACACCAUCUGGCUCGAUUUUUUGUCAAGAGUCCAUUUUUGGUGUUAUUAGUUGCGCGAGAUCAGCCUUCUAUUCUACUAGAGCAGGCUCGACAGGAGCCAAGUGACACCGUUGAUGUCGCCGUUGACCGUUGAAAAGGGACUGUAGCUCGCCUACAUUGCAGCUCUCGCCGGAGUCGCGAGCGAGCUGAGGAUCAACGUUGAGCAGCGGCUGGAGGUUGGUGGCGCUGCUGCGAUUCGCUCGAAUGGAAACAGAGGGAGGAGGGGCUGAGUGCGACGACAAAGAGAAGGCGGCGCAAUGAACUUCAUCCCUCUCGUCUCCGAUGAUAUGAAAAACAAGAGAAAGAGGGAGAGGAGAAGGUCGGCAACGGGACUGUCGUUGGACCCAGAAAGAAGAAGAAAGAAAGAAGAAGAAGAGGAAAGAAAAAAAGAAAAAAAAAUCUGGGCUUCUAAACUAUUCCGGUUCGAUUCGAAUCGGUUUGAUCUAACUCAAUGAUUUGACUCGAUUUUUGCUUGGGUUACGGAUUUUUCAUUGGGUUUUAGGACACUCCUAACUGAUUUACAGGUCUGAUUUAGCAAUAAUAAAAUAUUUUCCACUGAAUUUCAUUGGUUGGAAUAAAAAUUUAGUUUUUAAAUGAAAAUUCUACGAAAUUAAAUUUUUUAUUUUAUAAAAAGUAUUAAUUAAAAGGGAGAAAAAUACUUUAUAUCAUUAAUUUCAAAUGAGUAAAAUACACAUUAAUUUUUAUUAUUUUUAAUCAAAAUAAACAAUAAUGUAAUUUAAUAAUAAAAUUUAUUUAAACAAUAUAUUUAUGUCUACACCCCAUACGCAGAAUUACGAGCAAAAUAUUACUAUAUAUUAGUUAUUAUAUUUAAAGUAGGUAUUUGAAAUAAAUUAAACUCAAAAGCAAAUUUAAAUUAAAAAGAUUAAAAUCUCCUAAACAUUUAUACUCCAUUAACUCUAGUUGGAUAACUUAAAAAACAGCACAAACUUAAUUUAGAUAAUGAUUUGUUAAUAUAUUGUUUUUCACAUUAUAUCGAACCCAUAUUCUAAAAAGAAUAUAAAUGAAAAUUGCUAUUUUUAGAGUUAAAAAAAGGAAAAUUUUAUUUUAGUGGGAGAAGUAGAAAUAUCAUUUUCUUUUUAGUUAGAUGUUAGAGUGCAAGGCAUGUAACAGAAGAAUAUUAAUUAUAUAAAUAAAAUGCAAUAUAAAUUAAUUAUUGUAUUUAUUUUAAUCUAAAUAAGAACUUAUAUUUUAAUAUUAUAUAAAUAAAAAAAAAUUAAAUGAGUCAAAAUAAAUAUAUAACGAGUAAAGUCAAUGUACAACAUACAUAAUAAAAAAACUAAUUUUGUAUUAAAAAUGCAUGUAAUAUUUGUUAUAUUUUAAUGAAGAAUAAAAGAAAAAAUACAAAUCCUAAACAAAAAGAGAAAUAAAUUAAAAUAAAAUUACUCAAUCAUUAUAUAUAUAUAUAUAUAUAUAUAUAUAUAUAUAUAUAUUUUUUCUGAAGAAAGAUCNNNNNNNNNNUAAACAAUUUUUCUGAUGUGGAAGAUCAGACUAAGCUGCAUCCACAGAGCAUACUUAUCAACAUUACAAAUCACAACAACAAUUUAUAAUGGUUUAGGGUUCCUGCAACCUUAACCUGGGAUCCCCAGAAUUAAGUCAGAGUGUGGGGGAAGAAGAGAAUGGUGCCGUCAACACGGGCUUAAUAUGUAGCAAUUUUAAUAUAAACUAAACAUAAAAUUUUAUUUAAUUACAAAAUGAAAAUACAAUAUUUCAAACUUACAAAAGUUUUAUAAUUUAGACUUUCUCCAACUUGGAACGCUUACAAUGAACUGAGAGCUAAGAGUGAGAAAGGGAUUAUGAAUAGGAAUAGAGGUAAGAAUUAGCGAUAAGAAUUAUUGAUGCCUUCACAAGGGGAAAGGCUCCCUUUAUAUAGAAAAUUUAGGAAUAUUUACUAUUUGCUUUAUGCUGUUGAUGAACAGUGCUAUGUCUGCCACCGAAUCUUUACUGUUUGCCUUUUUACUGUUGAUGAACAGUGCUAUGUCUGCCACCGAAUUUUUACUGUUGAUGAACUGUGGUUGGUCUGCCACCGAAUCUUGACCUUUACUGUGAACAUAGUAACCUGGCUUCUACUGUUGAAAUAGUAGCUUGGCUUUUACUGUUUGGAAAUUGAAGGAAUAAGGUUCCUUCUGCCUUUUAUAUUGAGUCAGAACAAGAUGAGGACGAUGAUGUGUCCUUCUUUUUCUUUUCUUUUCUUUUUAUUUUUUCUUUUUCUUUUACCUUUUGGUUGAUUCUUUCUUUUUUUGCUUUGGCUUUUUUAUCUGCUUUACUUUUAAUUUUUAUGAUUGACUUAAUGUCUUCUUCAUCAGUAUCUUUAAAAGAAGAUAAAGAGACUGUGGAAGAGGAUGAUGAUGAUAAAACGACUUUAGCCUUUCCUUUAUGACUCUUUUUUGAUGAGGAUUGACCAGAUGAUACAUAUUUGGGCUUACUGGAGGAUUGGUUUAUUAGGCUUUCUGAACUGGUAGAAAGUUGUUAAAACAUUUCUUGACAGAUCAGUUUAUAUUCUUCGGGUGUUUUAGCUGCAGCUAACCGGGCUUGACACUGGGCCUUCUGAAUCCCAAAGUUAGGGUUAUCCUGAAUGGCUAAUGUACUGGCAUAGGUUAAAGCUGGAGUAGAUGGGCUGGCUAAUUUAGUGCGAAUCCAUUGAUGGAUCUUUAAUUCAGUAGUGGUGUUCUUGAAAGAUCCCCACCAUUUUAUCUUGUAUCUUUUUACUAACAUAGGAAUUUGGGUUCCUGGGACAUACUGAUAAUCGAAAUACCACUGGUAUACCCAAGGGGUGAAGAAGGUCAUACAGUAAUACAUCAAAGAUGGGAUAUGGACUUCUCCAGGAUUGGGUUUAUAAUGGGCUUUAAAAUAAUGAUAUAAAGAAAGGAUUGCAGGGGUAAUGAUUUCCUCCGAAAUACCUCUUGACUGCCACCACUUUUUAAACCAAUUUGGAAUUUUUAAAUCAGUUCUAAUAUGUUGAUCAAAAUAUACUAACCAAGAAUGGGUAGUAGUUGGAUUUUGAAUACAAAAAACUUUUUCCCAAGCUUCUUUGUAAUCAAAAUAAUUAUAUGUAGUACUAUGUUUAUGUAGAACUUUAAAUCUUACUGGAGUAUAUAAUGAAGAUACGGGCCAAUCUUUGGGAUGAAUGACUCGUUUUAUUUGAAUAGAGGAAUAAGAAAUUACGGAUUUAUUUUUAGUAUCAAAAGUAUGUUUGAUUUUUACAGAUCCAGUAUCAAUUAAAAUAUUAUGGUAAUACUCCUGAGGUUUUGAAGAAUCAGUAGGAACAAAAUACCAAUCCUCAGGGUAAUAUUGCUUUAUAAUUUGCCAAGGAUUAAUAUGAUUAUAUCCAUCCCCAACUUCAAAUUCAUAAUCAUAUAUAUUUUUUACAAACCAUUUAUGUAUACUACUAGUAGUAGAAUAUUGGAUUUUUGGCAAAUCCACAGCCAUCAACGGAUUUGAUAAGUCUUUACUGUCUACCGUUUGAGACAGACUAGUCGUACCAUGAGCGGAUACGAUCGUUUUAGGUUUAGAAGUCAUACCUGUAUCUUCUGUGGAAGAAGACGCCAUACCUUGCAAGGCCUUUAAUACUUCUGGGGAUUGAGUGAGUUCCUCAAUCCAUUUUUUAAGGUCUUUUGAAGGGUUUUGUUUACUAUUUAAAGUAAGGGUUUUACUGAGGUCUUCAGAAUGCUCCGAAAGAGCUUUAGUGGGUGAAGUAGAUUCUUGUUUACUAGGGGCUUUUCCCUUAUCCUUCUUCCUUCCCAUUGUUUUGUAAGAAUUCACGUGUCAGAAAGUCCGGGAUAUUAUUUGUAUUACCUUUAAUAUAUUCAAUAUCAAAUUCAAAAANNNNNNNNNNNNNNNNNNNNNNNNNNNNNNNNNNNNNNNNNNNNNNNNNNNNNNNNNNNNNNNNNNNNNNNNNNNNNNNNNNNNNNNNNNNNNNNNNNNNNNNNNNNNNNNNNNNNNNNNNNNNNNNNNNNNNNNNNNNNNNNNNNNNNNNNNNNNNNNNNNNNNNNNNNNNNNNNNNNNNNNNNNNNNNNNNNNNNNNNNNNNNNNNNNNNNNNNNNNNNNNNNNNNNNNNNNNNNNNNNNNNNNNNNNNNNNNNNNNNNNNNNNNNNNNNNNNNNNNNNNNNNNNNNNNNNNNNNNNNNNNNNNNNNNNNNNNNNNNNNNNNNNNNNNNNNNNNNNNNNNNNNNNNNNNNNNNNNNNNNNNNNNNNNNNNNNNNNNNNNNNNNNNNNNNNNNNNNNNNNNNNNNNNNNNNNNNNNNNNNNNNNNNNNNNNNNNNNNNNNNNNNNNNNNNNNNNNNNNNNNNNNNNNNNNNNNNNNNNNNNNNNNNNNNNNNNNNNNNNNNNNNNNNNNNNNNNNNNNNNNNNNNNNNNNNNNNNNNNNNNNNNNNNNNNNNNNNNNNNNNNNNNNNNNNNNNNNNNNNNNNNNNNNNUGUAUCUUCUGUGGAAGAAGAUGCCAUACCUUUCAAAGCCUUUAAUACUUCUGGGGAUUGAGUGAGUUCCUCAAUCCAUUUUUUAAGGUCUUUAGAUGGGGUUUGUUUACUAAAGGUUUUAGUGAGGUCUUCAGAAUGCUCAGAAAGAGCUUUAGUGGGUGAAUCUGAUUCUUGUUUAGAUUCUUUUCCCUUAUCCUUCUUCUUUCCCAUUGUUCUGUAAGAAUUCUCAAGUCAGAAAGUCUGGUAUAUUAUUAGCAUUGUACAAUUUCUUUAAAAGAUCUUUUUUAUUUGGAAUUGGAUAUCUUAUCCAUUUUAAUGCUGCAUUUAGAGGUUUAUAAUUUAUUACUAAUCUUGGUACUCCUCUUUCUAUUUCUGCAUUUUUAUUAACAUAAAAUGCCGCACAUGACCAUGGGCUUCUUGAUUUACAAAUUAAUUUUUUAUUUUCUAAAUCUUUAAUUUCUUUUUUACAAUGUUCGAUUAAUUCAGGAUUCAUUUGGAUUGGCCUAGCUUUAGUUGUAAUAGUUCUUUCAUCAAAAUUAUUUUCAUAAGGUAAAUCAACUAUGUGCUGUUUACGAUUCCAAAAAGCAUUUGUAUGAUCUGCACAAAGCUUUUUCUCCAUAUACUCUUUUAAGAGUUCUAUUUUAUUUUGUAUAUUUUCAGUUUCUAAUUGUUCUUUAAUUCUUUUUAAACACAUAUUAUUUUUUAAAUCUUUUAAGUCUGCUUCUUUAGAUUUUAUUAAUGAAUUGAUUUCUAAAGUUCUAAUAGAAUGUGCUUUUAAUAAAUUUAAGUUCUUACGUUUAGGUUUUUUUUGUAAAUUCAAGUCUAGCUUUCUUAUUUCUUAUUUUGAAUUUAAUACAAUCUUCCUUAACUGAAUAAGGUGUUAUCAAAUUUAUAAAAGGUGUUCCUAAAAUUACCAUAUAGUUUAUUUGAGGAGAAAGUAAAAAUACUGUUUUUAUUUCUAAAUCCGUGUUUAUAAUUAAUGCUUCUACUUUACCUACUAUUUCUAAUUUAGUUUUAUUAGCUGUACUUAAUUUUUCUUUAGUAUCUAACCAAUAUCUUUUAGGUACUAUAUCUGAUUUUAUACAAUUUAAAUCUGCUCCUGUAUCAAAUAAUGCUAUUGCAUCUAUAAUAAAGUCAUUUGCUAUUUUAAUGUUUAUUUUUACCAAAUAUUUUCUGGAAGUAAUUUCUUGUAAUAAAAAUAGAAAAUUACUAUUUAUUUCUUCAUCUUCUUCUAAUUGAUUGAUUUCAUCUUUUAUGUCAUCAUCUGGUUCUUCAGAAGAAGAAUUAGAUAUGAGUUGAGUUUCUAGUAAUUUGAUUUUCUUAGCAUUUUGUUGAGAUUGCACUUUUAAUUCAUUAACCUCAUGUUUUAGAUUUUUAAUUUCUUUUUGUAAUUCUUUAUUGGAAAUUUCUAUUGCUUCCUUUUUAUGUUUAUGUUUAUUUAAUAUGGUAGUUAAAUCAUAAGUAUUAGGUUGAAGUUUAGGAGUUAUUUCUUUUAUUUCUUUCUCUUCUUCAAAACUUUUAAUUAACCUUUUAAGAAGUUGUGCUUUAGUUUCAUUAUCAGUUAUAUUGUUUACCACUUCUAAAAGUGUACUUUGAUCUUUAGAAAGCAUAUUGAUAGAUUUUUCUGAUGAACUAGUUAUUGUUCCUAAUUCAUCAAUUUGAUUUUCACUUUCUAUCAUCUCUGAUUCUGAGGAGUCUGAAUCAAGAUAUAGUUCAUGAAUUUUAUUUAAAACUUCUCCUUCUAGAUUUAAUUCAUUUAAUUUUUUAUUAAAUCGACAGAAUUUUGAUGUAUGUCCUUUCUUACCACAAUUAUAACAAUUUAAAUUUUUAUAAGAAGUUUUAGUGGAAGAUUUAGAUGGUUGUUUUCUUUUAUAUUGCUUGUGAGGUUUUGACUUUUCUUUCUUAUAAUAUUUAUCUUGACUAGGUUUAGAUUUAUAAUGCGUUUUAGAAUACUUAUUUUUAGAAUGUUUGUUAGGUCUAUUUGAUUUAGAACACUGGCCUGUACAUUUCUGAGUAGAUGUCAUGCCAUAAUCAAAUUGUUUACAAAAAGAUCCUAACUCUUGUUUAGUUUUAUGCAAUUCAUAUUUUAAAGUUCUUUGGAGCUUUAAAUCUUGACAAAUUUGUAAUCCUUCUUUUUAAAUUAUACUAUUUAAUUAUCCAUAUGUUAAUUUAUUAUAAGGUAUUGGAUUACCAAAUUGUUGUUUAAUAUAAUUUCUAACUUUCUCGCCUAAGAAAAAAGGAAGUCCUGCUAAGAACUUUUCUUUCCAAAAGGCUUGAUUAGAAUCUUCUCUUAACAUUAAUUGUGUAAGAAAAGUGGUUUUAUAAUAUUGAAAAUCACUUAAUUUUUUACAUUUUAAAUUGCUUAAUAAUUCUGCAUUUUUAUCUUUUAAGUGUGAUGGAUCUCCUAUAAAAUGUAAUGAAAUAGUGAGAAUUAAUGUUGAUACUGCAUCUUGAAUAGGAUCACCAUUUUCAUCAUAUAUUGGAUCUCCUUCCUCAUUUACUUGGACUGAAUUUAAGAUUUCUAAAUGUUGUUGGUCAGUUAGGUGAUAAUCCCACCAACCUUUUAAUUGACCAGUAAAUCCUGCUAUAAUUAUUUCUGCUAUAGCCCAAUCUGAUAUAAUUGACUGAGUUUUAUAAGCAUUACCAGCCAUAGUCAUUUGUUGCAAUAUACUUAAUAUAUUAUACUCAGAUAGUCCAUCUAUAUUCCAUUCAUAAAUUGUAGUUGCAUUAUAUUUAAAUUGAGAUAUAGAAUUUGGUUUAUCUAUUAAUCCUAAGUCUGGUGCUCUAUUUACUAAUUCUCUAUGGGAUAUAUUUACUAUGUCAUUAUGUGAUAUAGGGUUUAGUUCAAAUUGUUUAAGAUUUUCUGAUUCAGGUUUACUGAUUGCAGAUUGAGAGUUUUCUUCUAUAAUGUUUAUACUUCUAGACGUUUGAGGAGUUUCAGGUGCUACUUGUUGAGUUGUAUCUGAAUGUAAUUCUAAUUUACUGAGCUGUGCUUUUAAUGAAUUUAUGAAUUCAUUUUGACUAGAUUUAGAAAGUUGAUAUGGUUUAAAAAUGUGAGAUUUUAUCUUUUCUUUACCUUUUACAUUAUCUUCUAUAAUAGGUUUUUCUUCCAAUAAAGUUUCUAUUCUUUUUAAUUGUGUAUUUAAACAAAUUAAACUUGCAUUACUAAAAUUAUUUUGUUCAAUUAAUUUUUUAUCUGUAUCAUUUUCUCGAGCUAUUUUAUAUGGAGCACAUACAAUUUCAUUAUCUUGAUAUUUUAAUUUACUAAUUGUUUUAGGUGGAAAAUCACUUUGUAUAGUUCUAUCAUUUAUUAUCCAUUCUGAUAAAAUUAUUGUUGUGAUAAAGCAUUCAUUUAAGAAGCAUCAUAGAUAGUUUUGGGUAUGCCUACUGAACCCGUUUGAUGGCCGUGUGUUGAAAGGCUAAGUAAGGGUAUAACCAGGCAGUGGUCGCGACUUGUUGAUACUUUAAAAUGGAUCCUUUAUUGUGUAGAUCUGCUAAUAGUGUUAAAGCGGAUGAUUCUGAAUCUUCAGAAAUAAAAAGAGUAAUUAACAGAAAUGAAUUAAUUUUACAAGAUUUUAGUAAAGCUAUUGAUGAAUGGGAAAUUCCUAAAGUUGACAAAGAACAAAUCUAUAAAAUCUCUAAAUUUAAUUUAUGCUCUGUGGUUGCAGCUUAGUCUGAUCUUCCACAUCAGAAAUAUUGUUUGUGUGUAAACUAAAUCUUUCAUCAUAGCAUUUACUUCAGAAUCAAUAGAAAUAUAUAUUUGUUAACCGAUCCUCUCCUUUUGUUGGUAUCAGAGCCUCUCCCUUUUAAAACUGUUGGCAACUAUAAUAAUAAAGAAUUCAUUUAAGAAAUAUCAUAGAUAGUUUUGGGUAUGCCUACUGAACCCGUUUGAUGGCCGUCUGUUGAAAGCUAAGUAAGGAUAUAACCAGGCAGUGGCCGCGACUUGUUGAUAUUCUGAAAUGGAUCCUUUAUUGUGUAGAUCUGCUAGUAGUGUUAAAUCGGAUGAUUCUGAAACUUCAGAAAUAAAACGAGUCAUUAAUAGAAAUGAAUUAAUAUUACAAGAUUUUAGUACAGCUAUUGAUGAAUGGGAAAUCCCUAAAGUUGAUAAAGAACAAAUUUAUAAAGUUUCUAAAUUUAAUUUAUGGAAAACUGAUUAUGUAAUUAAAACCGAAGAAAGAGAUUUUCAAUUAAGUAAACCUUUUGAGCGAAUUACUCUUCUCUCUUCUAAAACUUUAAAACAACAUAAAGAUAAAAAAUAUAAGUACAUUCACAUAGGAUUAAUUCAAGUAGGUAUUAAACCUUUAACCAGAGAAGGAUUAAACACUAGCAUUUUUGCAGUAGUAAGAGAUGCUAGAUUUUUAAAUUUUCAAGAUUCUUUGUUAGGAUCAGUUGAAACUAGUUUAAGUGAAGGACCUAUAUCAUUUGAAGUAUACCCAGAUAUGACUAUUUCUUUAAAUGAUGUAAACAUUGUAGAAAGUAUGGUCUUAGAGAUUAAAACUCAUAAUUAUAAGAUGAAACAAGGAUCAAUCUCUAUAGCAUUAAUUUAUAAAAUUCAUUAUAAAGCAAUGAAUUCAGCUUUUGGUACUAAAUAUAAAUUACAACCUAAAUUAGGGGAAACAAGAUUCCUACAAACAGAUUUAACUAAAACUAAUACUGUAAUCCCUAAAACCAUUCAAUGGAAAGAUAUCACCUUACCAGAAGAAUGGAUUUUAGAAGGAAUAGUACCUCCUCCUAUUCCAAAAAAGGUUAGACCUAAUAUAAAUUUGCAAAAAAUUGAGCAAUAUGAAGAUGGUAAAGACCAGAAUGGAUAAUAAAUGAUAGAACUAUACAAAGUGAUUUUCCACCUAAAACAAUUAGUAAAUUAAAAUAUCAAGAUAAUGAAAUUGUAUGUGCUCCAUAUAAAAUAGCUCGAGAAAAUGAUACAGAUAAAAAAUUAAUUGAACAAAAUAAUUUUAGUAAUGCAAGUUUAAUUUGUUUAAAUACACAAUUAAAAAGAAUAGAAACUUUAUUGGAAGAAAAACCUAUUAUAGAAGAUAAUGUAAAAGGUAAAGAAAAGAUAAAAUCUCACAUUUUUAAACCAUAUCAACUUUCUAAAUCUAGUCAAAAUGAAUUCAUAAGUACAUUAAAAGCACAACUCAGUAAAUUAGAAUUACAUUCAGAUACUACUCAACAAGUAGCUCCUGAAACUCCACAAACGUCUAGAAAUAUAAACAUUAUAGAAGAAAACUCUCAAUCUGCAAUCAGUAAACCUGAAUCAGAAAAUCUUAAACAAUUUGAACUAAACCCUAUAUCACAUAAUGACAUAGUAAAUAUAUCCCAUAGAGAAUUAGUAAAUAGAGCACCAGACUUAGGAUUAAUAGAUAAACCAAAUUCUAUAUCUCAAGUUAAAUAUAAUGCAACUACAAUUUAUGAAUGGAAUAUAGAUGGACUAUCUGAAUAUAAUAUAUUAAGUAUAUUACAACAAAUGACUAUGGCAGCUAAUGCUUAUAAAACUCAGUCAAUUAUAUCAGAUAGGGCUAUAGCAGAAAUAAUUAUAGUAGGAUUUACUGGUCAAUUAAAAGGUUGGUGGGAUUAUCACCUAACUGACCAACAACAUUUAGAAAUCUUAAAUUCAGUCCAAGUAAAUGAGGAAGGAGAUCCAAUAUAUGAUGAAAAUGGUGAUCCUAUUCAAGAUGCAGUAUCAACAUUAAUUCUCACUAUUUUAUUACAUUUUAUAGGAGAUCCAUCACACUUAAAAGAUAAAAAUGCAGAAUUAUUAAGUAAUUUAAAAUGUAAAAAAUUAAGUGACUUUCAAUAUUAUAAAACCACUUUUCUUACACGAUUAAUGUUAAGAGAAGAUUCUAAUCAAGCCUUUUGGAAAGAAAAGUUCUUAGCAGGACUUCCUUUCUUCUUAGGCGAGAAAGUUAGAAAUUAUAUUAAACAACACUUUGGUAAUCCAAUACCUUAUAAUAAAUUAACAUAUGGACAGUUAAAUAGUAUAAUUCAAAAAGAAGGAUUACAAAUUUGUCAAGACUUAAAGCUUCAAAGAACUUUAAAAUAUGAACUACAUAAAACUAAACAAGAACUAGGAUCUUUUUGUAAACAGUUUGAUUAUGGCAUGACAUAUACUCAGCAAUGUACAGGCCAAUGUUCUAAAUCAAAUAAACCUAACAAACAUUAUAAAAAUAAGUCUUGUAAAACGCAUUAUAAAUCUAAACCUAGUCAAGAUAAAUAUUAUAAAAAAGAAAAGUCAAAACCUCACAAGAAAUAUAAACGAAAGCAAUCAUAUAAAUCUUCAAAUAAAACUUCUUAUAAAAAUUUAACUUGUUAUAAUUGUGGUAAGAAAGGACAUACGUCAAAAUUCUGUAAAUUCAAUAAAAAAUUAAACGAAUUAAAUCUAGAAGAAGAAGUUUUAAAUAAAAUUCAUGCACUAUAUCUCGAUUCAAACACCUCAGAAUCAGAGAUAUCAGAAAGUGAAAAUUAAAUUGAUGAAUUACGAACAACAACUAGUUCUUCAGAAAAAUCUAUCAAUAUGCUUACUAAAGAUCAAAGUACACUUUUAGAAGUGGUAAACAAUAUAACGGAUAAUGAAACUAAAGCACAACUUCUUCAAAAAUUAAUCAAAAGUUUUGACGAAGACAAAGAAGUAAAAGAGAUAACUCCUAAACUUCAACCUAAUACUUAUGAUUUAACCACCAUAUUAAAUAAACAUAAACAUAAAAAGGAAGUAAUAGAAAUUUCCAAUAAAGAAUUACAAAAGGAAAUUAAAAAUCUAAAACAUGAGGUUAAUGAAUUAAAAGUACAAUCUAAACAAAAUGCUAAGAAAAUAAAAUUAUUAGAAAAUCAACUCAUAUCUAGUUCUUCUUCUAAAGAACCAGAUGAUGACAUAAAAGAUGAAAUCAAUCAAUUAGAAGAAGAUGAAGAAAUAAAUAGUAAUUUUCUAUUUUUAUUACAAGAAAUUACUUCCAGAAAAUAUUUGGUAAAAAUAAACAUUAAAAUAGCAAAUGACUUUAUUAUAGAUGCAAUAGCAUUAUUUGAUACAGGAGCAGAUUUAAAUUGUAUAAAAUCAGAAAUAGUACCUAAAAGAUAUUGGUUAGAUACUAAAGAAAAAUUAAGUACAGCGAAUAAAACUAAAUUAGAAAUAGUAGGUAAAGUAGAAGCAUUAAUUAUAAACACGGAGUUAGAAAUAAAAACAAUAUUUUUACUUUCUUCUCAAAUAAACUAUAUGGUAAUUUUAGGAACACCUUUUAUAAAUCUUAUAACACCUUAUUCUGUUAAAGAAGAUUGUAUUAAAUUCAAAAUAAGAAAUAAAAAAGCUAGACUUGAAUUUACAGAGAAACCUAAAAGAAAAAACUUAAAUCUAUUAAAAGCUAAUUCUAUUAGAACACUAGAAAUUAAUUCUUUAAUAAAAUCCAAAGAAGAAGACUUAAAAGAUUUAAAAAACAAUAUGUGUUUAAAAAGAAUUAAAGAACAAUUAGAAACUGAAAAUAUACAAAAUAAAAUAGAAGUCUUAAAAGAGUAUAUGGAGAAAAAGCUUUGUGCAGAUCAUCCAAAUGCUUUUUGGAAUCGUAAACAGCACAUAAUUGAUUUACCUUAUGAAAAUAAUUUUGAUGAAAGAACUAUUACAACUAAAGCUAGGCCAAUCCAAAUGAAUCCUGAAUUAAUCGAACAUUGUAAAAAAGAAAUUAAAGAUUUAGAAAAUAAAAAAUUAAUUUGUAAAUCAAGAAGCCCAUGGUCAUGUGCAGCAUUUUAUGUUAAUAAAAAUGCAGAAAUAGAAAGAGGAGUACCAAGAUUAGUAAUAAAUUAUAAACCUCUAAAUGCAGCAUUAAAAUGGAUAAGAUAUCCAAUUCCAAAUAAAAAAGAUCUUUUAAAGAAAUUAUACAAUGCUAAUAUUUUUAGUAAAUUUGACAUGAAAUCAGGAUAUUGGCAGAUUCAAAUUGCCCCUAAAGAUAGAUAUAAAACAGCAUUUACAGUUCCUUUUGGUCAAUACGAAUGGAAUGUAAUGCCGUUUGGAUUAAAAAAUGCACCUUCAGAAUUUCAAAGAAUAAUGAAUGAUAUAUGUAACCCCUAUUCCCAAUUAUGUAUAGUCUAUAUUGAUGAUGUGUUAAUAUUUAGUCAAACUAUUGAAAACCAUUUUAAUCAUUUAAAAACUUUUUGUAUGAUAAUAGAGAAAAAUGGUUUAGCACUUAGUAAAACUAAGAUGGAUUUAUUUAAAACCAAAAUUAGAUUUUUAGGACAUUAUAUUGAACAAGGAAUACUUCAACCUAUAGAAAGAACUUUAGUAUUUGGAAAAAAAUUUCCUGAUGAAAUAACUAAUAAAGUACAACUUCAAAGAUUUCUUGGUUGUUUAAAUUAUGUAAUUGAUUUUUAUCCUAAUUUAAAUUGUAUGAUAAAACCUUUACAUGAUAGACUUAGAAAAAAUACUGGUCCCUGGACCAAUAAGCAUACACAAUUAGUCAAAAAGAUUAAAUCAUUAGUUAAAGAAAUCCCUUAUUUGUAUAUUCCUAAUCCAACUGCAUUUAAAAUUGUAGAAACAGAUGCAUCCAAUAUAGGAUAUGGAGGCAUAUUAAAACAAAAAAUCAAUGGUAAAGAACGUAUAAUUCAAGAUACGUCUGGACAUUGGAACCGGACACAGAUAAAUUAUUCCACUAUUAAAAAAGAAAUUUUAAGCAUAGUUAUAUGUAUAAAUAAAUUCCAAUCUGAUUUAUUAAAUCAAAAGUUUUUACUUCGUAUUGAUUGUAAAUCUGCUAAAGAUGUUUUGCAAAAAGAUGUUCAAAACCUUGCUUCUCAACAAAUUUUUGCUAGAUGGUAAGCAUUAUUAAGUAUUUUUGAUUUUGAUAUUGAAUAUAUUAAAGGUAAUACAAAUAAUAUCCCGGACUUUUUGACACGUGAAUUCUUACAAAACAAUGGGAAGGAAGAAGGAUAAGGGAAAAGCCCCUAGUAAACAAGAAUCUACUUCACCCACUAAAGCUCUUUCGGAGCAUUCUGAAGACCUCAGUAAAACCCUUACUUUAAAUAGUAAACAAAACCCUUCAAAAGACCUUAAAAAAUGGAUUGAGGAACUCACUCAAUCCCCAGAAGUAUUAAAGGCCUUGCAAGGUAUGGCGUCUUCUUCCACAGAAGAUACAGGUAUGACUUCUAAACCUAAAACGAUCGUAUCCGCUCAUGGUACGACUAGUCUGUCUCAAACGGUAGACAGUAAGGACUUAUCAAAUCCGUUGAUGGCUGUGGAUUUGCCAAAAAUCCAAUAUUCUACUACUAGUAGUAUACAUAAAUGGUUUGUAAAAAAUAUAUAUGAUUAUGAAUUUGAAGUUGGGGAUGGAUAUAAUCAUAUUAAUCCUUGGCAAAUUAUAAAACAAUAUUACCCUGAGGAUUGGUAUUUUGUUCCUACUGAUUCUUCAAAACCUCAGGAGUAUUACCAUAAUAUUUUAAUUGAUACUGGAUCUGUAAAAAUCAAACAUACUUUUGAUACUAAAAAUAAAUCCGUAAUUUCUUAUUCCUCUAUUCAAAUAAAACGAGUCAUUCAUCCCAAAGAUUGGCCCGAAUCUUCAUUAUAUACUCCAGUAAGAUUUAAAGUUCUACAUAAACAUAGUACUACAUAUAAUUAUUUUGAUUACAAAGAAGCUUGGGAAAAAGUUUUUUGUAUUCAAAAUCCAACUACUACCCAUUCUUGGUUAGUAUAUUUUGAUCAACAUAUUAGAACUGAUUUAAAAAUUCCAAAUUGGUUUAAAAAGUGGUGGCAGUCAAGAGGUAUUUCAGAGGAAAUCAUUACCCCUGAGAUCCUUUCCUUAUAUCAAUAUUUUAAAGCCCAUUAUAAACCCAAUCCUGGAGAAGUCCAUAUCCCAUCUUUGAUGUAUUAUGGUAUGACCUUCUUCACCCCUUGGGAAUACCAAUGGUAUUUUGAUUAUCAGUAUGUCCCAGGAACCCAAAUUCCUAUGCUAGUAAAAAGACACAAGAUAAAAUGGUGGGGAUCUUUCAAGAACACCACUACUGAAUUAAAGAUCCAUCAAUGGAUUCGCACUAAAUUAGCUAGCCCAUCUACUCUAGCUUUAACCUAUGCCAGUACAUUAGCCAUUCAGGAUAAUCCUAACUUUGGGAUCUAGAAGGCCCAGUGUCAGGCCCGUUUAGCUGCAGCUAAAACACCCGAAGAAUAUAAACUGAUCUGUCAAGAAAUGUUUCAACAACUUUCUACCAGUUCAGAAAGCCCAAUAAACCAAUCCUCCAGUAAGCCCAAAUAUGUAUCAUCUGGUCACUCCUCAUCUAAAAAGAGUCAUAAAGGGAAAGCUAAAGUCGCUUUAUCAUCAUCAUCCUCUUCCACAGUCUCUUUAUCUUCUUUUAAAGACACUGAUGAAGAAGACAUUCGGUCAACCAUAAAAAUUAAAAGUAAAACAGAUAAAAAAGCCAAAGCAAGAAAAGAAAGAAUUAAGCAAAAGGUAAAAGAAAAAGAAAAAAUAAAGAGAAAAGAAAAGAAAAAGAAGGACACAUUAUCGUCCUCAUCUUGUUCUGACUCAAUAUAAAAGGCAGAAGGAACCUUAUUCCUUUAAUUUUCAAUUUUCAAACAGUAAAAGCCAAGUUACUAUGUCAACAGUAAAGGCCAAGCUACUAUUUCAACAGUAGAAGCCAGGUUACUAUGUCCACAGUAAAAGUCAAGAUUCGGUGGCAGACAUAGCACUGUUCAUCAACAUCAUAAAGCAAAUAGUAAAGAUGCUUAAAUUUUCUAUAUAAAGGGAGCCUUUCCCCUUAUGAAGGCAUCGCUAACACUAACCUCUAUUCCUACUCAUAAUCCCUUUCUCCCUCUUAGCUCUCAGUUCAUUGUAAGCGUUCCAAGUUGGAGAAAGUCUAAUUAUAAAACUUUUGUAAGUUUUAAAUAUUGUAUUUGUAUUUUGUAAUUAAAUAAAAGUUUGUAUUUUAUUUUAAAUUGUUACGUUCUAAGACCGUGUUGACGGCACCAUUCUCUUCUCCCUCCACACUCUGACUUAAUUCUGGGGAUCCCAGGUUAAGGUUGCAGGAACCCUAAACCAUUUAAAAAAUUGUUGUUGUGUUUUGUAAUGUUGAUAAGUAUGCUCUGUGGAUGCAGCUUAGUCUGAUCUUCCACAUCAGAAAAAUUGUUUAAAUUGUAUGUUGAUUUUAUAUUUAAUGAAUUAUAUAAGUAUUCAUAUAAACCCAAUUAAUCAUAGUAUUUUAGUUCACAGUUAUAAUUUAUCUUUAAAUAUUUGUAUCUGUAUUUAUUUAAAUCCUAGUUCCCCCUGAACUUUGAAAAUAACCCUACAACACCCCCAACUUUGCGGGAGACCAAUCAUGCACCUGAAUUUAAAAAUUAUGCACCACAUAUAUAUUUUUUCAUGCUGGUUACCAAUUUACAAUCGCGAUAGUAAAUGAAAGUGGGAUCCAUUUAUAUUUACACAUAAGCUAUUUAAAAAAAACGUUAAAGAAAAACUAACAAUGACUGUUCAUAUUUGCAAAUUCAGAAGGAAAAAAAAAAAAAGAAAGAAAGAAAAGUUUAAAGAGAAAAUCUUUGAGUAAAAGGAAGUGACAUUGGGUUAUUGGGCAAGGGAAAAAUAUUAGGGUUUUCUUGUCAUCGUCGUUUGAACAAAGAGAAAGCUGAAUAUUGUGAAGAACGGAAGAAAGCGCAGCAUUUGGGAGGGGGAUAAUACCCAAGUGAAAGAGAAGCGAAAGUUGGCUUCCAAAAGUAACUAUUCAACCAAUGUUUUCUUUAAAUCUGCAUUCUUGGAGCUAUUUUGUUGGUUUUUUUGGUUUGCGAAUAGUGGAAUGAAGCAGGGGUUAUGUUUUUUGCUAUGGGUUUUGUAUUUUCUCUUUUUUUAAAAAGGGAUGGUUGUAUGUAUGGUUUUUUUCGUUAUUAGGACAAUAGAAGUAGGGUUUUUUUUUAGAUUGAACAUUGACUUUUUUGAGAUGGUGGCCAUUUGUUGAAAAAGUUUUGCCUUUUGUUUUAUUGAUUUCCCUUGUCCCUAUUCCCUCACUUGAUGGUCAAUGUCUUUGUAGAAAGGCUGACAAGAUUAUAACUCUUCGUUGAUUUCAUGGUGGUCAAUUUGUGCACAAUCCUCACAUGAGAUAUGUUGGUGGCACUGUUACUAUUGAAGAAAAUAUGGACUGUGAUCGGGUUUCUUAUGUGGAUUUGCUUGGAAGAGAUAAAGAAAUGAGGCAUGACAUAAUAGGUCAACUUUUUGUUAAAGUUUACAUUGUUGGAGAAAUUGAGGUAUACUCUCCCCUUAUUAAUGAUUCUGAUGUAUUAAUUGAGUUGAACCACUUCUAGAAUGGAGGUACACUAGAUUAUUUAUUGAGCAUGUAAUUGCAGUACCUAAAGUUAUUGAGGGAGUGUAUUUAUUGGAUACGAGUGGUCAAGGGGCAAAUGUGGGAGGGGAAAACUCAGGAGGGGCAAAUGUGGGAGAGGAAAACUUAGGAGGGGCAAAUGAGGAAAUAGAAAACCUAGUUGGGGAAAGGGCAAGUGAGAAUAAAAAACUUAAAUGAGGAAGGGAUAGGAGCAAAUGUUGCUGGGGCUAGUAUGAAUGGGGGGGGGGGUUGAGAGUAGCAAUUCUAGAGAUGAAAAUAGGGAAGAGGAUAACUAGAGGAAGAUAGUGACUACGAGCCUGAAGUUGAUGAAGAUGAUAUUGAAGAUGCGGAUGAAGAAAUAGGUGAUGUUGAUGAAGAAUUAAGGGCUACAAGAGAAGGAGUUAGAAAUUAUAGAAGAAGUAAAGCUAAGGCAGAAGAGGACAUUGAGAAUGUUCCUCUAGGUGAAGCUAGUCCGGACUUUGGGUUUACUAGAGAAGACGGUCUAAAUAGUAGAUUCAAAAGGGUAACUGCGGAUGGUGAACCAUAUUUAGGUUCUUCUGAUCCUGAUUCUAGAGAGGCUACUAUUGAUGAGGAAGGGAGUGGUGAUGAUAAUAGUUCAAGCCAAUAGGAAAGAAAGAAAAACCCAUUAUGACCUAACAACACAUGUUCUAUAUUGGUAACUUAGUAUGAUUUUGAAUCUAUGGACCAAUUUAGGAAAGUCAUUGCUAAGUAUGGGAUGGUGAGGGGUGUAGAUCUAAUUGUUAGACCAAAUGAGCCACAUAAGGUUAGGGCUAAAUGUAGGCAGGUUGUCCUUGGUUGCUUUUUGGAAUCAUGGAAAGUAGUACAGAUAAUUUCAUUAUAAAGACCUGCAACCUAGUCCAUAUGUGUUUUAGAACUAAUAGGAACAAAUUAGCUAACUCUAGUUUCAUUGCUAAGCAUUUUAAAUAUAGGAUUUGUUCUCUGUCUAGUAUUAAGAUUAGAGAGAUACAAGAUUUGUGCAAAGAACAACUAAAUCUUUUCAUAGUAAGACUAUUGCUAGGAUAGUUAAGAUUAAAGCUUUGGGAGGUAUCAUAUGUGAUUAUAAGUUGGAAUUUGCUAGACUACAUGAUGCAGAUGAAAUUAGGAGGUCAAAUCCAAGCUCCACAUGCUUUGCAAAGUGCAAAAGGAUGGAAGAAGGGUUGUAAUCAUUUAAGAGAUUAUAUAUGUGUUUGCAAGCUUGCAAACAAGGUUUCCUUAAAGGUUGUAGGCUAAUAUUUGGGCUAGAUAGUUGUUUCCUUACAGGACUAUGUGGUGGCCAAUUACUAGUUGUUGUCUCCAAAGAUGGAAACAAUCAAAUAUUUCCUAUAGCUUGGGCUUUAGUGGAUGUGGAAAGUACAAAACAUUGGUCAUGGUUCAUCUCAACUUUGAAGCAAGAACUUGGUAUCACCAUUGGUUUGGGCUAGAUAGUCAUAAAAGAUAUACAAAAGGUAAUGUAUCGCAAUUUCAUUUAUAUUACUUGUGUUUUCCAUUAAAAGCUUAUGUUUUCAAUUUUAAUGGUAUUUUCUUGCCUUGAAGGGACUUAACAAAGCAAUUGGACACGAGCUACCAGAAGUAGAGCAUAGAAUGUGUGUUAGAUAUAUAUGGACUAACUGGAAUAAGAAGUGGAAGAGUGAGAAGAGGAGAAGAAAGUUUUGGGAGGUAGCAAGAGCUCCCUUUGAAAUGAUGUUGAGGGACAAAUUGAAAGACAUGAGUGAAUUUAGGAGGAAAACAAGUUGUGGAUGACUUACUAUAUUACAAUCACAACACUUAGUGUAUGGCUUUUUUCAGCAAGCAAUCUGAGUGCGAUAUUAUGGAGAACAAUGUAUGAAACAUUCAAUGGUUGGAUCUUUAAUGAUAGGAUGAAGUCAAUUAUAACUAUGAUGGAGGAAUUAGAGUACAAGUGAUGGAAAGAAUUAAAGUCAUGAGGGAGUUUGCAAAUACAUGGAUAUGUGAUAUAUUCUCUAAGGCUAUGAAGAAACUAGAGAUGCAUAAAUUGCUAUUCAUGCUUUUUCAUCCUAGAUGGAAUGGGGAUAGUGGUUCUGAAAUUGUGGAAGGAGAGUACCAACACACAGUAAAAGGAUGAUAUGUACUCGUAGAUCAUGGGAAUUGAAAGGAAUCUCAUGUCAGCAUGCCACUUAUGCUAUGUUUCAUAGAAAAUUGGAUUUUGAAAACUAUAUUGCUAUUUGGUAGAGAAAGGAGCAAUACUUGAAAGCUUACAAGUAUAGCAUAUAGCCUGUUAUAGGCAUAAAGCUAUGGUUUGAAUCAACAAAUCAUGUUAGAAAAAAGAUAGCUAGGAGAAGGGAUAAGGAUGAACCAAGGAAAAAGAUUGGAAAGUAUAAAAGAAAGGAGUGUCAAUGACUUAUGAAUUCUGUAAAGGAUCUGGACACAACAAAAGAGGCUACCCACAGAAUAGGACAAGUUCAACCGAGGUAAAUCUUAAUCUUAAUACAUUUAAGUAUAUAAAUGUAAUGUGUUUUUACAUCUCUGUUUCUUGUUUCUAACUAUUUGCUUUGACACAUGCAGAAUACUGUAUCUCAAUCACAAAUACAAGCAGAAUCCCAUGUUAGCCAAUAGUCAAGUGCUAUAGGCACUAGCAUUGCACCACCCAUUAGCACUCCAGCAUGUAGUAUAUUUUUCUUCUUUAUAUAUGUGUUAUUUAUUAUUCUGUGUUAAUUACAAAUUGCUUUUAUUGCAAUUAUGUUGUUGAAGAUUAUGUUCAUGAAAUGUGUUUUGUAAAUGUUUAAUAGGUAAAAGUGAUAUGAGAUUAUUAAAGAGGAAUGCUAGAACACCAAACAUUGCCUGUCAUGGAUCCAAGAGUCACAACAAUGCAAAUGUGGUUGGAAAUGUAGCUAGACCAUUUUCAAGUGCAAUAGAUACUACUGGUGUAACACCCAUCAUCACUCUAGCAAGCAUUUGACUUUGAUUUUCUGAGAUAUUUUUUUGCAAAUGGUUCUGUUAUUGGAUAUUAUGUGUUAAUUAGAAAUUUCAAAUUUUCAAUAGGUAGAAGAAAUCUGAGAUCAUUAGUGAGGAAUGCAAGAACACCUGACACUGACAGUGUAGCAUAUAGUAGUCAAAGUAAUGCAAAUUUGGCUGAAAAUGUAGCAAGAGCAAAUCCAAGUGUCAUUGGCACUGCUACUGCACCUUCCAGACCCCCCCAACAACACUCCAAAAGGCAAUGAUUUUUUUGUAUUUUAAUUUUCAUAUGCUAGUUUUGUGUAACAUUUCAAAAUAUGCUGACUACUGUUGUUGUUUUGGUAUUGAAAGCAAUUGAAUAUUUGAGUUUAUUUGACUCUCUGUGUGAUAUAUGUGCUGGGAAAGACUAUUUCAUUCUCUGUGUGAAAUGUGUUGUGAAAGAUUAUUUGACUCCCUGUUUGAAUUUCUCUUAGGUAAUGUCGUUCAUAACCAAUAUUAGAAAUGUGGCUGCAACAACUCCUUUAGGUGGAGGAGGGGAAGAGGAUAUAAUGGAGCACCACCAACAACUAAAACUAGUAAGAGAUAUGCUAGAAAGACAAUGGCUUUUGUUGUUAAGAGGCAAGUUACUCUUAGGAGAAUUAGUGUUCACCUGAAUGAGAAUACUUGAAUGACAACAUACCACAUAAUGUGUAAUUUCCCUAACCGGAUUACUUUCAUUCACUGUUGAUAGGGAUGCAAAUAUAGGUAAUGACUUAUUAUGUUCAUUUCGAUCUUCACUCAACACUGCAUCAAGGAUUAUCACCAACCCUACCAAUUAAUUUAAAGAGCUCUGCAGUUGUUACAGCCUCAAAUAGAAAGAGGCACAAAUACUUCAAGCCAAGCAUCACAAGGCAGCAACAAACCAACACGACAAAGUGGCAAUGAGGGAAAUUGAAUUAGGAUUUAUGCUUUUAUUUUUGUAAUUGUGAAUGUUUUGAUAUUUAGACUUGUAUUCUGAGAUAUGUCAAAACAUAAUUUUUUGUCCAAACUUGUGGAAUGUGUGUUAUUUCUGGCAAAUGGAACCCCACUUUUGUCAUCCAUUUUUCAGAAAUUAUGAACAAUUAUCUUCAGUAAUGGAAUCUCAUUUUGGAAUCUCAGUGAUUCAUUUUCAUUAUUACAGUUUUGCUUCUAGCUAUCCUCUCAUCUAUAUGCUUAACUUAUUAAAAUUGCGAGGAAUCAGAUUUAAUUAUUAAAAAUUUGCAUAAUUGAGCAAAUAAAUCAACAACAACAAACAUCAUAUUUGAUGGAAGAUUAAACUAUAUUAAUUGUUAAUUACUUGAAAUGAGCUACACAGUAACAAACUACCAAAAUAUGCAUUCUCCACACUGAGAUUACAACUCCUAUUAGGUUACGAAAGGUUGUUGCGUCUCUUUUGAGUUCCCGCAAGUAUACGGAUCGCAACGUAGUAAUAAAAGAUCGAUCCCACGAGGAACGGGUUGAGUUCACUUGCUACUUUACUCUUAAUGAUGUGUUUACAGAAAUAUGAAUAUAGAAGUGAUUAAUUUCUAUUUAUGCUAAAUCUACUGUUUAAUUAACUCUAAAGAUAAGUGUGUAGUAAGAUACUUAGAA
rnacentral:lncRNA from 1 species